rnacentral:rRNA from 1 species
UACGUAGGUGGCAAGCGUUUGUUCGGAAUUAUUGGGCGUAAAGGGCGCGUAGGCGGCUUGUUAAGUCGGCUGUGAAAGCCCGGGGCUCAACCCCCGGAGGUCAGCCGAUACUGGCAGGCUAGAGUACGGAAGAGGUAGCUGGAAUUCCCGGUGUAGCGGGUGAAAAUGCGUAGAUAUCGGGAGGAACAUCUGUGGCGAAGGCGCACCCCUGGACCAGCACUGACACUGAGGCACGAAA